rnacentral:rRNA from 1 species
UACGUAGGGGGCUAGCGUUGUCCGGAAUCAUUGGGCGUAAAGAGCGUGUAGGCGGCCCGGUAAGUCCGCUGUAAAAGUCCAGGGCUCAACCCUGGAAAGCCGGUGGAUACUGUCGGGCUAGAGUCCGGAAGAGGAGAGUGGAAUUCCUGGUGUAGCGGUGAAAUGCGCAGAUAUCAGGAAGAACACCCGUGGCGAAGGCGGCUCUCUGGUACGUGACUGACGCUGAGACGCGAAAGCGUGGGGAGCGAACAGG